rnacentral:lncRNA from 1 species
AGCCACCCUGGAUGCAUGUGCUGUGACCUCUGCAAAGCGCUCCUCGGACGGCUACAGAAGUGCAAAGCAGUAUUAAAGCACCAGACCCAGAGCUGUGGGUCCGCCGUGCCCCAGCCUGCUCAUCUGGAUCCGCUCCCAGCAUUAAGUUUGGAUCGUUUUUGCUUCGUUGAAUCCGUUUUAAUUACCUUUCGCUGAUUGCUUUUUGCCCUUUGUUUCGAGCGUUUCGCUUUUCUAAUUACAUCUCCGGCUUCUCCCAUCGGUGGGCAAUGGAGCUGGCUCUUAUCAGCAAGGCAGGGGCUCAGGGUUUGCUUCCAGAUGCUCUGAUGUGCUGAAACCCAGCGCCAGGUCGUGUUUGUUUGUUUGCUUUCCUAGCACAGGAACCGAGCAGGUUUUCACAGCUUCUCCAGGAAAGGGGCCACCCAUUCUGUGGUCUGCACUUUGCAAACGGACAAUUGAAGGCUUGAAAGCAAACAGGAGGUUUGAUUCACCUCCUGCUGCAAUCCGGUGGUUCCUGUGCUUUUAUUUUUUGAGUAGAUGGGGGCAGCUGCACCAGAAAGCUGGGCUGAGACUUUGGCCAAACCAGCCAAGCCACAGCAAGCGAUGGGAUGAUCCCAACCCUGCUGUGGUUCCUGGGAUGCACUCAACCCCUCAAGGGAGAGAAGAGAACAGCCCAACCUCUGCUCGGCAUCAUCCCACAGUGACUCAAAUCCAUACGGGUGUGGUCACGAGGAAGGAAGCAUUGACCACCCACCCCAUCCCAACAACGCGUGUGCAAAGCCUUCCCAGUGCAAAACCAAAGCACGUCAGAGCCUCCUCCUUGCUGUGUGCCUUGGGUGACACAUGGCCCCCCUCCAACCUGGGGACACCUGGGUGGCCUCUAAACCAACGUGAGAGGUUUUCUCAGCUGGAAACCACUCCCUUAUCCACGCUUUAUGAGCAUGCUGGCAAUGGACCUUGCACCCAACCCUGCGCCGUGCAGCUCAACCUUCGCUCUUCCCAUCCUACGUUCGCUGUUGACCUUGCCCAAGGUGCGGUUGGCUGUCAGUGGGUGCGUGCAGCAGCUUGCUGCCUGUCCAUUGCAGCAUCCCUGCCUCAGGUGUGCCUCUGUUUCCCCAAAGGGAGCCAAGUCAUGGUCUGUGCAGCUCCUUCCGCCCUCUGCUUGGGAGCCCGAGCCUUUCAGCAUCGGGAAAGCAGCAACAGGAAACGAGUCAGGGGGAAUUUUAGGAGCUGUUGAGAUGGCUGCAGUGUUUGACAUUCCCAGAACUCAGCAGGCAAGCAGCUGGCUGCUCCAUUAAUCCUUGCUGAGGCUCCUCUUGGCCCCACCACCGUGCUGGGGGCAAAUCCUUGCCCCCAGGAGCACAGAGCAUCCCUGGAACCGUGCAACAAUAAAAAGAAUACAAAUAAAAAAGCA